GAGCUCGAGCUCGAGCAUCAGCCAUAAAACCCCCCUGGGGUGCUGGUGUAGGUGACGGAUGCGAAUUUCUUUGACUUAGCAGCUGAGUCAGUGUGGCGACCUGUUGUCUGAGCUCUUCAAAGGCUCCCGUAGUGACGACUGCCGGCUGGGGCUCUGGCACUUCUGAUGAUUCCUCUUGAGGAACAGGGAUAUCCUCAGGAGGGGGUUGGUUUGGAGCGGAUGAGCUUGCUGGUGGAAGACCUGAACGUGUGUUUACCAUGACUUUUGGUAGCGCUUCCCACAGACGGCGCCAAUGAUGCUACCAAAAAUCGUACCUGCUGAUUUUCCGAGCUUGAUGACUGGUGAGGAGCACGAACGUGAUCUUCCGAUACCUGAAACAAAGGCAACGAGGUGUGUUCUCGUCGCCCCUCCGAUGCUUAAGUCAGAAAGGGAAAUAUAUGCGUGAGGCUAUGUGUUGAAGAACAAUGAGAAAACGUACCUGAAUAAUGGCCCAAGGUUCUGCUUUUAUAGGAGUAGGUAGUGUACUCCUAGUAGGAUUGUGUUGGUUGGAUGUUUUUAUCCAAGGGAAUUUCUAUUAUAAAGAAUGUCCUACUUGUAACGGAAUUGUUUGACAAGUGGUGUUAGGGUUGAUGUAGAAUCCUUGGGUUUUUAGGUUUGUUAGUUAGGUACCCAGGCCUUAGGAGGUACGUUGGUGGUGUAUGUCUCGAGGACUAUUCUCGAGGACAUUGAGGGAAUGUAAAAGUGUCCUCGAGGUAUCUCGAGGACUACAAUAUCUCGAGGACUUAGAUGACCUCGAGGACUGAAGAAGAGAAAUGAGGUGGGGGUAUGUAUUGAGUCCUCGGGAAU
rnacentral:lncRNA from 1 species